AGCUUUGCGCAGUGGCGGUAUCGUAGCCAAUGAGGUUUAUCCGAGGCGUGAUUAUUGCUAAUUGAAAACUUCUCCCAAUACCCCGCCAUGACAGCUUGAAAUAUAGUUGGUGUUGGCAAUUUUUGGCAGUCUCUACGAGG
rnacentral:snRNA from 1 species